rnacentral:sRNA from 1 species
GUGGGAGUCCAGGAGUGGGUAGAACUUAGCGGGGAGGGGAUAAGGCCAUGCCCUGUUUCUCAUUUCCUUCUUUCUGCUGUUCCUCAGCUUAACCACCCGGACACUGUUGAAGGUCUUGUCCUCAUCAACAUCGAUCCCAAUGCCAAGGGUUGGAUGGAUUGGGCAGCCCACAAGGUUUGGAGGGGCGUGUGUGCUGAGACCUAGGGUUGGGGAUCCCCUCGUAUGGAUCCAGUUAGGCUGUCUACCAGAGCCUAACUGGAUGGACUCCGAACUUCAAGGAGGGAGUAAAGGGGCAGGAAAGUGAAGCUGUCACUUUGCCUGAGUCUCUUAUAAUAUCCUGAAUUUUCCUUUUUUCUUUUUUCUUUUUCUUUUUUUUUUUUUUUUCUUGAGAUGAUGUCUCACUCUGUUGCCAAGGCUGGAGUGCAGUGGCUUGAUCUUGGCUCACUGCAACCUCCGCCUCCCGGGUUCAAGUGAUUCUCCUGCCUCAGCCUCCCAAAUAGCUGGGAUUACAGGUGCCCACCACCACGCCCAGCUAAUAUUUGUAUUAUUAGUAGAGAUGGGGUUUCACCAUCUUGGCCAGGGUGGUCUUGAACUCCUGACCUUGUGAUCCACCCGCCUCGGCCUCCCAAAGCGCUGGGAUUACAGACGUGAGCCACUGUGCCCGGCCAAUAUCCUGAACUUUCUCACCUGCCUUCUCCUCCUAGCUAACGGGCCUCACCUCUUCCAUUCCGGAGAUGAUCCUUGGACAUCUUUUCAGCCAGGAAGAGCUCUCUGGAAAUUCUGAGUUGAUACAAAAGUACAGAAAUAUCAUUACACAUGCACCCAACCUGGAUAACAUUGAAUUGUACUGGAACAGCUACAACAACCGCCGAGACCUGAACUUUGAGCGUGGAGGUGAUAUCACCCUCAAGUGUCCUGUGAUGCUGGUGGUAGGAGACCAAGCACCUCAUGAAGAUGCAGUGGUUAGUAGGGAAUUUUGGGGUGAGUGAGGGAGGAGGGUUGGGGUCCUAGAGUGGUGGCCAGAAGAGUAUCUUGCCAAGGGGAUGUCCUGUUUGGCACAGGGAGAUCAACUUUGGGGCACUAAGAAUUUGAUUCCUGGUAAGGAGGAACUGGGUAGGGAGCUGAUAGAAAAGGGACUGGGGUCUGGGUUCCUGGGUCCCUUAUGGGGGACGGGCCACAGUGGGCAUGACCUUAUUCAUUCAGCCUCCUGCUUACUCCAGGUGGAAUGUAACUCAAAACUGGACCCCACCCAGACCUCGUUCCUCAAGGUCAGUAACCUGUUCCUGGGCCCCUGUCCACAGUCUUAUAUCCUCUCUAGAUGCAGCUGCUAAGCCUCCAGGGCCCUGCAUGGGAGCAAAUGGGGUGAACGAAGAACAAAACAAAGGGGCUAGGGUGAAGAAGCUAGGGAAGAGAAACCCUUUCCACCUCUCCACAUGGCUCAUUUAUGUAUGUUUCACUUUUUCUGGGUGGUGCUCUCCUGAACAGAUGGCUGACUCCGGAGGUCAGCCCCAGCUGACUCAGGUGAGUACCCCUGCCGUCCAUGGGAUGGGGAAGUGACAUAGGAUACUGGUGGCACUGGGCUCUGCCCUUUGCCACACAUCCCGUCCCCACAAUGCUGCAGCCUCAGGCUCCAGCUCUGCCUCUAACCUCAUCUCACUGUCUCCCUCGCCUCUUCUUACUUCCGCAGCCAGGCAAACUGACCGAGGCCUUCAAGUACUUCCUGCAAGGCAUGGGCUACAUGGCCUCAUCCUGCAUGACUCGCCUGUCCCGGUCUCGUACAGCCUCUCUGACCAGUGCAGCAUCCGUUGAUGGCAACCGGUCCCGCUCUCGCACCCUGUCCCAGAGCAGCGAGUCUGGAACUCUUUCUUCGGGGCCCCCGGGGCACACCAUGGAGGUCUCCUGUUGAAUGACCCUUGUUGCCCUAGUGCGGGACCCAGCCCUCACCUCCCCCAGAACUAACCUGGGAGGUGCUGAAGGGACAUUGGGCCACAGUAAGCAAGGGAAAAAGGGCAGAUCAUGUGGGGAGAUGACCUUGAUCUUUGAUUGCUACCCUAACCUUGACCUUUAACCUGUGAUUCCCCCCAGCUCCUGGAAGAGAUGUCCUAAUAUCUCUUAGGGACCCAGACCCCUAAAUUCUCCUCCUCCCCCAUUUUGGUGUUAAGGUGGAGAGGGCAUAUGCAUCCUCUGUCCUGAUCUAGGUGUCUAUAGCUGAGGGGUAAGAGGUUGUUGUAGUUGUCCUGGUGCCUCCAUCAGACUCUCCCUACUUAUCCCGUAUUUGCAAGGGGAGGGGAUUUGGGGCUGGGGCUCCAUUCACCAAAGCUGAUAUGGCUUCUUAAUAACCCUUUAGGACUCUGAAGGGUAUGGACCUAUGUGAAUGUGUGUCAGGGGGAGACUUGCUGGUGGGUUAGUGGUCCUCAGGAUGUGAUAGAAACAUCCAGUGUAAAAAGGAAGUUGGAAUGGGAGUUGGCGGGCAAUGAACGAGUGUCGGGGAAGGAUUGGUGCUGGGGCAACAGGAAGGGGCCUGGGGCCAUUCGGCUGCACUAACUUUGGUAGCUCUCAGUGUGCAUCUAGAGUGGGACUGGGGAGGGAGCUAAGCUUGGGCUGGGCUGCUUGGGGCUUGGCAUAGGGGUGGAAAGGGCUACCCUGGGGCUCUGACCACACUGUAUUAUGUGUGGAGGGUGCCCUCCUGUCUCCCACAACUUCUGCUAUAACAAUAAACUGUAGAGGAAUCUGA